GGUGGCUCAGUGGUAGAGUGCUUGCCUUGCAUGCAUGAGGUCCUGGGUUCGUUUCCUCAGCACCA
rfam:Dipodomys ordii contig_38621, whole genome shotgun sequence.